rnacentral:rRNA from 1 species
GUGAGGAAUUUUCCGCAAUGGGCGCAAGCCUGAUCCAGCCAUUCCGCGUGCAGGAUGAAGGCCUUCGGGUUGUAAACUGCUUUUGUACGGAACGAAAAGGUUCUCUCUAAUACAGGGGGCUGAUGACGGUACCGUAAGAAUAAGCACCGGCUAACUACGUGCCAGCAGCCGCGGUAAUACGUAGGGUGCAAGCGUUAAUCGGAAUUACUGGGCGUAAAGCGUGCGCAGGCGGUGAUGUAAGACAGAUGUGAAAUCCCCGGGCUCAACCUGGGAACUGCAUUUGUGACUGCAUUGCUGGAGUGCGGCAGAGGGGGAUGGAAUUCCGCGUGUAGCAGUGAAAUGCGUAGAUAUGCGGAGGAACACCGAUGGCGAAGGCAAUCCCCUGGGCCUGCACUGACGCUCAUGCACGAAAGCGUGGGGAGCAAACAGGAUUAGAAACCCUAGUAGUCC